UCCAUGCAGCUGAGUAGGGUAGUAAGAGUUUUAGGGGGGUUAGUUAGCAUGUAGGCUCCUUGAGCUAUUAAGUAGGGAAUCUAGCAAAAGGGCUUUCCCUUUUUCACUCCCAAGUUUCCUGUGAGUUUUCUGUGUAGCACUGAUCCAGGAUUAGGAGUUCUUUCUGCCUCUGCUUUUAUUAUUCCAAAUCCUCCAUGGAGAGACUCCUGUCUGUUGCUGUAUAGUCUUAUGAUCGGAGAAACAGAGGUACUAGGAACUGAAUAGCUGUGAGGAUUAGUAAUGGGACUUUGAGCCUUAUUUCUUCAGUUUGCUGGUCUGAGUUAUGCCCCAGUGUUUCCUCUUUACUGGAAGGGCUGCUUAGCUGAAGCAACAAGAUGUCCACCCCAGCAGCUCCAUCUACAAGCACUGUCCUAUGCAGAUUUACAAACAAGUAAUUGCUAAUGAAGACCAACAGAAUAGCCUGGGGAAACAGCUACUGGGCAUCUUACUCCUCUUGCAUUUUGUUUCCUUCUGUGAAAGAGAGUUGGGAGACAGCCAUUGAGAUCUCACUUGUGCUGGUUCAUCGGUUCCUCUUCCAACCUGGCUACAGCACGAAGCAGAUUCAGAUACUGACUUCCAUGGUGGUGAAGCUAGUCCAGAGAAGAGAUCUUUCCCAACACUCUAUUCAGAAACAAGCCUGCCCUCCCUCCCCUCCGGCAUUGAUGGAAAGCAGAUCCUCAAUGUGUUGCGUGGUAGCUUCUGAAAAACUCAUACAAAAUGCAGCUUUAGGAUGAAAUUUCUUUUAUGGCAGAAGGGUGGGAUGAUAAGUGAAGUACUAAGUGCAAAUCACUCAUCCACAUAAUACAGAGCACAGCUAAAAUGUAUGUUCAGUCUGAAUAAAAUGCCUCUAUCCCAUCAAGAUGUGCAUUUAUAGUUACAUAAGCACAGUGUGUGAUUUCCCAUGAAAUCCUCUUUCCCCUUAGUUGUUCCCAGAGAAGGGACCUACCUUGUUCUAGGAAGAUCAUUCUGUAGGGGAUGCUACCCUCUUUUAGAGGGGGAUGGUCUUGUGUAUUUAUCUGUUGCUAACAUUUGGAUGACUAAAACCGAAAGGUUCUCUUGCAAGUUCUGCUGCUACAUGUGACUAAAGCAGUCUCUAGUCGAAUGCACUUUGUGCCCGCGAAGGAGUUGGAGUGUUGUGGGCUACAAGCUGCAAGGGGAGGAAUGUUUGUGUCCAAAAUCUGUCAUCAGUUUCUC